UGGUGUUACUGCGAAGGGGGGACGGAGAAGGCUAUGUUAGCCGGGCGACGGUUGUCCCGGUUUAAGCAUGUAGGCUGGUUAUCCAGGCAAAUCCGGAUAACCAAGGCUGAGGUGUGAUGACGAGGCACUACGGUGCUGAAGUAACAAAUGCCCUGCUUCCAGGAAAAGCCUCUAAGCAUCAGGUAACAUCAAAUCGUACCCCAAACCGACACAGGUGGUCAGGUAGAGAAUACCAAGGCGCUUGAGAGAACUCGGGUGAAGGAACUA
rnacentral:rRNA from 1 species